UUCUCUUCCUCAUUCAAUACAGAUGAGUGAAGGCGAGAGCGGCGUGUGUGUUUCUUCAACCCUUCUCCCGUUAUUUUUCCCCUUUUUAAGUCCAUCUCAAGUCAUCCUGCAAUCUGAACCAGCAAGGUAAAAGCCCCAGAGAGGUUUACCCUUGGGACCGGAACCACCCCUCACCUCAGGACCUUUACCUACCAUGGACCAAAUACAUCACUCACAGAUGCUCAAUACCUGCCCAGAAUCUCAAGUUGUUUUUGUUAACCUGCUGGAUAUCAAACACAAGAUCAGGUUGGAUUUUGAUGCUCUUCACUGAUGUACUUCACAUAGCCCUUGGACUUCAAGAACAAAAGGCACUCUGUAAAGGUGACAGGAAUCACAAAAAGGAAUCUUCUCACCCUGCUUUCCUGCCAAGCAAGAAGUUUAGUGAACACGUCCAGCACUAAUCUCAGCGCCAUUAUGAGCGCUGCAGGAAUAAAAGAGUAGUAAGAGAGUGGAUGAAAAGCAGGGAGGGCUUUUGUUUCUUCUGUGCUGUGCUGUCCAUUGAUGAGGAGGUUGUUUGAGUAGAUAAGGAGAAUAAAUCCUGAGUUCUCUCUC